CAUGUGACCAUUUUCCCCAGGCCCUCUAGUUUGCAAAGGUGAGGGCAGAGCUCAACCUGUAGUGUAGAGCCUGAGACAGAGGGACCAUGCUCCCUGUGUCCUAAUGGGAAAGGGCUCUUCUUGAGUAGAAAGGUGAUUACCAAGUUUUGCUUUCUCCUAUAGAUGAAACAUGAGCAAAAACAGGGAAAUGGAGACCUGGAAAAGAGAGGGCACAGAAACGGCCAGUUUCCUAGGUUUUGAGAAGAGAUAGAUUAUUUAAUAAUCUAUUUCCCCAGGAUGGCACCUAGAGGAAAAGAUUAUCCAGCCACCAAGAAAUGCCCAGCUCCUCUAUUUAUGAUGAACCUGACUUAAUCAGGAGUAGAAGGCACAUUUCUUCUUUUCAGAGUUACACAAGGGCCCUGGGUUUCCUGUUGACAUGAAGAUAUUCACACCCUUCAGAGGAUGGAACCCUUCACAAACAGCUUAUCAUCUGUUCCACUUUCUGCUCUUAGAGAUGAAAUAGGAAGUUUCUUCUUUGUUCAAAGAUUAAGGAAACCACUGUUUCCCUGUUGAGAUGGGGAAAGACGUACCAUCCUGGGAUCUUCAUGUCUCAGAAGGAUUAUAUACAUUUUCCCUUGUCUUCCCUGCAAAGGAAUGAGAGAAAGAACAGUCCCAGGGUUUGGCCACUGAAGGCUGGAAAGGGAUGGCAGGGCCCUCCCACACUUAGUCAUUACUCAUGCAUGAGGGCAGCUCCCAGCCCUCAGCUCUGGAGGGGUGGUGAGGGCUGGUUUUCCUGGGCUCUGCUAGGUAUCUGCUUGGUAUCUUGGGGAACUAUCUCAAAUUGAGUGAAAGAGCAGUGAGUGUUGCUUCCAUUUUCGGUACACCACUGAAAAUGAAGUACUUGUACAAGCUGGACAUUUGAGUUUCACUUCUCUUGUAAUGUUGAAUACAGACUCCUAAUUUAAAGACAUGUAUCUAAGGGACAAAUAAUUGCACUGAUCCAAGAAGGGCUGGGCUCCUGGCUAAACUCUAUCCUGAAGCCUGGAACCUUGGCCCUAAGUGAAAACAGCCAACCCCAUUUUUCCACCCAAAUGAUUUCCUUUUUGGCCCACCCCGCCCCCUAUCCUGUGCCCACAAAAAACCAGACUUCAGCUGGUAGAGGGAAAAAAAACACACACAUACAAAAGCUGCUGACUGUCGGGGAUACAAGCAGCUGAGUGGUGAGCAGAGAAGCAGCAACUGCGUACUGUAGAAUAUGGAUAAACGCAGCUAACUUCAGACGGUGCGGCUUCAGAGGGGAGCCUGGCUGGAGACAGGCUGGGCUUCAGGGAAAGAUCACCUUCUUCCCACUCGAUCCCCUUUCCAGCUCCCCUUCCACCGAGAGCCACUUGCACUGCUCAAUAGUCUUCUGCACCAAUCAUCUUUCAAACAGUUCAUGUGACCUGAUUCUCCCAGAAUAUUGAACAACAACUCGGGUGUCAAAAAGAGCAGGUGCAGAAGGCUGUCACCCUAACCUUUUACUGAGCUGUUAACACUUAGCCAUCCACAGACUGCAGGCUGCAGGCUGAGUGAAAUGAGUCACUCCAGUUCCACGAAGGGGGUCAAAGUCAAGGAAAAAUCUCAUCUUAACACAACCCAUAAUGUAAUAGUGUGCAAUAUCUUUUCUAGUAAUCACAGUUUUUGUAAAAAAUCAGUAUAAAGCUGUCAAGUUUUCUUUCUUAGAAAAGAUCUGUUAUAUUUUUCUGAAAUCAUCUUCUUUAUCUUUUGCAGGGAGGAAUGUCCUUCCUUUUAUGAAAUUAAAUAAGAGCCCCUAUAAUUUGCAAGAAACUGUUCUAAGUCCUAAGGAAUUGGCAGCGAACAAAAUGCAGCAAGUCUCUAAACUUGUAGAGCAAAUUUUUUUCCAGAAUAAAAUGUAGCUUUAUUAUGACAUAGGAAAGACUGCAAACCAUUAGGGGAGGACGAGGAGUCAAAUUGAUGCAGGAUUAUUUUCUUGACUGUUUCGUGGGACUCGUGACAGGGGUGCCCUGUUUACUCAGCCCACCCCGCUUAACCCCUUGUAGGAGGGAGCACACAAGCAAAUGAAUGGAGGAACCGGCUGGCUGCUCCAUUCCUUCAGGUCUGCCAUGCUCCACCCCUCACAGGAGGGAGCAUGUAGGCAAGUGAGUGCAGGAACCAGCUGGCUGCUUUGGUGCCAGCAGGAGCAAACUCCAGGCAGGCCCCGCAGCAGUGUCUAGGUGGGGGUGCCUGUGACCCCAGAGCCCCAGAGGGCGUGUUACAAUGCUCUCUUAGCUCCACUGUCCACAGACAGCAGUGUGUUAUCAGCUCAGUGGGCCCUUUGCCUCAUCGUAUGGGGCAGCUGCCCUCUGCCAGUGAGGGAAAGGGACCAGUGUUGACAGCCUUUUUGGGUAUCAGCCCUUGGUGCAUACUGAAUCCUUGUUUGGUGCCCAAGAAGAAUGAGGUCACAUGAACGAAUUGAAGGAUGGUGGAUGAGGAUAAUUUUAUUGAUCAAUGAAAGCAGAUCUCAGCCGAAAGGGGAGCUGGAAAGGAGAUGGGAAGG
rnacentral:lncRNA from 1 species